rnacentral:lncRNA from 1 species
GGAAACUGAUGAUCUUGACCGAUCAGGAGGAGUUAAUUUCAGCAAUGGAAAAGCUGGAAUUGGAAGUGAAGUGUCCUAUGAAGAUUGAUGAGAAGCUGUUUUAGAUGCAAUCUGGUACAACUCUACCAGACAAGGUUAAGGAGGCUCAACUUCAGGAUGACGAAUGUAAAACUAUGAAAAAGAAGAUAUCCGAAGGAAUUGAAUCAAGAUUCAAG